GCGAAGACUUAUCUGGUAGCUCUAUGGUCGCGGCGUUUUACUGGCCACAGGAAUCAAGAUCUUCCAUUUCUUUCUUUCGAUCGGCAGCGUCUCUUCCCCCCGCCGGAGUAUGCGGUUCGCCGGCUUCCUCCUCGACGGCGCCGCUCGCACCUUCCGACACCAAGGCGCCUUUUCCAAGCUAUUGGUCGUCCUCGCCGCAAGUGGCGGAGGCAUUGUGGCAUACGCGGAUGCGAGAACAGAUGCAGCUGCGGAGUCUGCUCAAAUUGCCUCCAAAAAGAAGGUGGUAGUGCUUGGAACUGGGUGGGGUGGCACUACCUUCUUGAAGAAUCUCGAUAGCUCCUUGUACGAUGUGCAAGUGAUAUCACCUCGCAACUACUUUGCAUUCACGCCUUUGUUGCCCAGUGUCACAUGUGGAACUGUGGAACCGCGAAGCAUUAUCGAACCCGUGCGUAGAAUCAUAAGAAAGAAGGAUGGACAAAUUAAAUUUUGGGAAGCUGAGUGCUUCAAAAUUGAUCCUGACGCAAAAAAGUUACAUUGCCGUACUAAUAUAGGGACAAAUUUGGAAGGGAACGGUGAGUUUAUUGUCGAUUAUGAUUACUUGGUGAUAACAGUUGGAGCAAGAGCAAGUACAUUCAACACCCCGGGUGUGGUGGAGCAUUGCCAUUUCCUGAAGGAAGUUGAGGAUGCUCAGAAAAUACGUGGAAGUGUGAUAGAUUGUUUUGAAAGAGCUACUCUUCCAGACAUUGAUGAAGAAGAAAGGAAGAGAAUUCUUCAUUUUGUGAUUGUUGGGGCUGGUCCAACUGGUGUCGAAUUUGCAGCAGAGUUGCAUGACUUUUUCGCUGAAGAUUUAGCUAAGUUGUACCCUACUGUAAAAGACCUAGUGAAUAUAACAGUAAUUGGGCAUGCAGAGCACAUUUUGACAAUGUUUGACAAAAGGAUAAGUACAUUUGCUGAACAGAAGUUUCAAAGGGAUGGAAUUGAACUAAAAACAGGAUUUAAGGUUGUGAAAGUAUCUGAUAAAACACUCACUAUGCAAAACGGAAUUCACCAACAGUUUUCUGUUCCAUAUGGAAUGGCUGUAUGGUCAACUGGUAUUGGAGCCCAUCCUUUCAUAUUGGAAUUCAUGAAACAAAUUGGUCAGGGUAACAGGCGUGCCUUAGCUACAAAUGAAUGGCUGAGAGUAAGAGAGUGUACUGAUGUGUAUGCUAUUGGCGAUUGUGCUACAAUUGCUCAAAGUAAAAUCAUGGAUGAUAUCUUGGAGAUAUUUAGAUUUGCUGAUAAAGAUAAUUCAGGAAGUUUAACCAUGAAAGAAAUUGAAGAUGUUUUAGAAGAUAUCUGCGCAAAGUAUCCUCAGGUAGAACUCUACCUGAAGAGCAACCACAUGAGCAACAUAGUUGAUUUAAUAAAGGCUUCCAAAGAUGCUGAUAAAAUGGAAUCUGAAGGAAUUAACAUAGAAGAGUUCAAAAUUGCUCUUGCUAAUGUGGAUUCUCAGGUCAAAAGUCUUCCUGCUACAGCUCAGGUAGCUGCACAACAAGGGAUAUACCUUGCUAGAUGCUUUAACAAAAGGAAGGACAGUGAAGAAAAUCCUGAAGGUCCACAGAGGAUCAAGGAAGCGGGAAGACAUCACUUUUUUCCCUUUAGGUGUCAAACUUAUUGAGGAAUCACAAGCCACAGAUGAAAGUUUGAAGUCUUUGCCUAAGCCCAACUUAGCUCUACAACUUCCCUAUGGAUGAUGACAUGUGAAGCCAUUGCCCAGAUGAAUAUCUGAAAAUCUGCAUUUAGAUUAAUCGUCAUGCUUCUGUUAAGGUAUAAGCAUUUUGGGCAAUUUGCACCGUUGGGUGGAGAGCAAACAGCUGCAGAACUCCCGGGCGACUGGAUCUCCAUUGGACACAGCACACAAUGGUUAUGGUACUCUGUUUACGCAAGCAAGCAAGUAAGUUGGCGCACUAGGACGUUGGUGAUAUCUGACUGGGCAAGGCGAUUUGUAUUUGGGAGGGACUCCUGCCGCAUAUAGCCUAGCAAUUUGUUUGACACGAACAGAGUUUGUGUAUUAUCGAUCGAUUAUUUUCACAUCUCUCUCCUGUUAUGAUUGAUUGGUGAAAUGAGUGUGGAAAGUUCUGUUUUGAUCUUGUAAUAGAGCAAGAGAAUCACUCGCAUUACUGCAUUCCGGAAAACUAUUACACAAUUCAAAUAAAGAAUUGCGCUUGAAAUAUUA